AGUGGGAUAACUGGGUCAAAUGGUGAUUCCAUUUCAGGUUUUCUGAGGAAUCUCCAUACUGCUUUCCAGAAUGGAUGCACCAAUUUGCAGUCCCCACAGUAAU
rnacentral:pre_miRNA from 1 species